CCUGUUCCCAUGCCGAACACAGUAGUUAAGCUUCUUAACGCCGAAAGUAGUUGGUGGGAAACUGCCUGCGAGGAUAGGAAGCUACCGUGC
rnacentral:rRNA from 1 species